UUCCGUGCUGUGACGAAGCAAUUUUUUGGACUAGAGUUUCUGAUCUGGGAUUCUUCACCCCGGAAUUUGAUUAUUAACCCUUGGCUGUCUGAGCACACUU